AAAAAUAUCAAAGAUGCGAAAAUUUGAGUGACGAAGAGAAUUUACAAGUAAUUCGUGAUAUAUUGCACAGAACGUUAGCCCCAAAACCCCAGUCGAUUGUCCAGCGCCCCGUUCCCUUUAGGAAAAUAGGCAAACUCGAUUUUACCACACCGAAUUUGGAGAGGAAAGUAGAACCGACAAAACUUAAGCUUACAGAUAAGAUUGUCAAGACCGCAAGAGACCUUAAAGGUCCGAAAAAACCAUCACAAGAAACCAAAGAUCAAGAACAGUCGUUGGGCAGGAGCUUGUCGAAAAUCCUGAACGAUUCCACAAACGCUACCCAAACGAAAUCCGGCGCCCUUAUUAAAUUGAAAAAGUGCAUUCAAGAUGAAACCACAACUUGUACAAGGCUCAAAGAAUUAUUAGGGGAAACACUGUUGAAAAUCGACGAAAAAUCUAGACUGUUGUUUGAAAAGAACGAACAAUUUUUGAAAACGCCCGCAAGCUGUUGUAACACCAAGGGUAAGACGUGUACCCAUUUAAGAGAAGUGCUCAAUGAAUAUUUGUUUCAACGUAACAUAGUCGUGGAAAACAA